AGAGGGCACUGAAUGCUGCGGCACUCGGGUUAACAGAUGGUAGUGAGCUGUCUGAACUACUUAAAAUUUUCAGGUAAAAGGGCAGCAAGCAUUCUUAAACUGCUGAGCGGCCCUCUAGGUGUUCUUUGCUGGGGCAGGGGAGUUAGCAGGGAGGAAGUGGAGAGAACUGGGAGAGUUGAGACCCUCCUUCUGAGCGUUAAGCUGCAUGUAGAUAAUAUCUGCAGGUGUGGCACAAUUGAAAAGGCAGUGGCUUUCAGGCUAGUCACUGCACGGACUAGUAAGGCAGCUCUCUUGCUCCCAGCACCGUGCAUCUGAUUCUCCGUUCUCAGGGACCACCUGACAUGGUUAAACAGCCCUGGCUUAACGUUCCAGACACUGCUGCCAAUACUUGCGGCUGUUAGUUCCUGAUUUCUGCUUAAGGCUUCUGUAACAAGUGCCCAGACCUUGGCACAACUGACUCCAUGAUUGAAGUACCAUUCAGGCCAUUAAACUCAGCACAUAGAUGGUACCACCUGCCAAAAUGAAAACAAAGACCUGAUCCAUCAAAGUCCAUAGUGAUGGAAAUGCCCCUAAAUGACUAACCUUGCUCUUUUUUACUUCUUUAAUUCUGCUUCUGACUAAAUGUGCUUGUUAACUGAAGUGUGUCAACCCGGGAUUUUUUUUUUUUCAUAAAGGCUUGGUGGUACACUGGGAUCCUGAAUACCAAGUAUGCUCUCCAGCCAGCUGAUAAAGAUUUCUAUUGGCUUAAAUUUUAAUCCAGGCAGUGUUCUCUGUUGGAUACCCCACAAUAAUUUCCAUUAGCUUUUAUGUAGAAAUUCUACUUCUCCAAAGAAACCCUGUCUCGAAAAAAAAAUUUUUAAUUAAAUAAAUAAAUUCUACUUCUCUG
rnacentral:lncRNA from 1 species